rnacentral:rRNA from 1 species
AGCUAGUUGGUGAGGUAAUGGCUCACCAAGGCAAUGACACCUAACUGGUUUGAGAGGAUGAUCAGUCACACUGGAACUGAGACACGGUCCAGACUCCUACGGGAGGCAGCAGUGGGGAAUAUUGCACAAUGGACGAAAGUCUGAUGCAGCAACGCCGCGUGGAGGAUGACACAUUUCGGUGCGUAAACUCCUUUUAUAUAGGAAGAUAAUGACGGUACUAUAUGAAUAAGCACCGGCUAACUCCGUGCCAGCAGCCGCGGUAAUACGGAGGGUGCAAGCGUUACUCGGAAUUACUGGGCGUAAAGAGCGUGUAGGCGGGUAAAUAAGUUGGAAGUGAAAUCCUAUGGCUCAACCAUAGAACUGCUUCCAAAACUGUUAACCUAGAAUGUGGGAGAGGUAGAUGGAAUUUCUGGUGUAGGGGUAAAAUCCGUAGAUAUCAGAAGGAAUACCGAUUGCGAAGGCGAUCUACUGGAACACUAUUGACGCUGAGACGCGAAAGCGUGGGGAGCAAACAGGAUUAGAUACCCUGGUAGUCCACGCCCUAAACGAUGUACACUAGUUGUUGUGAGGCUAGACCUUGCAGUAAUGCAGUUAACACAUUAAGUGUACCGCCUGGGGAGUACGGUCGCAAGAUUAAAACUCAAAGGAAUAGACGGGGACCCGCACAAGCGGUGGAGCAUGUGGUUUAAUUCGACAUACGCGAAGAACCUUACCUGGUCUUGACAUAGAAAGAACUUUCCAGAGAUGGAUUGGUGCCUGCUUGCAGGAGCUUUCAUACAGGUGCUGCACGGCUGUCGUCAGCUCGUGUCGUGAGAUGUUGGGUUAAGUCCCGCAACGAGCGCAACCCUCGUCGUUAGUUGCUAACAGUUCGGCUGAGAACUCUAACGAGACUGCCUACGCAAGUAGGAGGAAGGUGAGGACGACGUCAAGUCAUCAUGGCCCUUACGACCAGGGCUACACACGUGCUACAAUGGGGUAUACAAAGAGCAGCGAUACGGUGACGUGGAGCGAAUCUCAAAAAUGCCUCCCAGUUCGGAUAGUAGUCUGCAACUCGACUACUUGAAGUUGGAAUCGCUAGUAAUCGUAUAUCAGCUAUGCUACGGUGAAUACGUUCCCGGGUCUUGUACUCACCGCCCGUCACACCAUGGGAGUUGAAUUCAUUCGAAGCGGGGAUGCUAAAAUAGCUACCUUCCACAGUGGAUUUAGCGACUGGGGUGAAGUCGUAACAAGGUAACCGUAGGAGAACCUGCGGUUG